GUGCUGCACAUAUUACCAGUGAUGUAGUUUCAGUCUGAAUCUGAAGGCCUGAGAACCAGGACAGUUGAUGGUGUAAAUUCCAGUCCGAGGUCAGGAGAAGCCUAAUGUUCUAGCCUAACAUCUUGCAGCUUUUUUGUUCUAUGCAAGUUUUAAAGUAAUUGGAUGGGACCCAGCCACAUUAGGGAGGCCAAUCUGCUUUACUCAGUCUACCAAUUCAAAUCUAAUCUUAUCCAGAAACACCCUCGUAGACACAUCCACAGUAAUAUUUGACCAAAUAUCUCAGCACUCAAAGGCUUAGGCAAGUCGAUAUGUAAAAUUAAUGAUCACAAGGAGGGAGAAUGGGUUCAACAGGUAUUUAAAAGUAUUCAUAAUAGAAAAGUAUUUAUUGUGUUUAUGUGGCAGGCAGUAUUCUGAGUGCUGUUAUUGUAUCUCAGUUAAAACACUAGUUAGGUAAGAAAAGCGUCACCUCUGUGAGGUGGUUACUAUUAUUGUCCUCAUUUAGCAGAUGAGAAAACAGGCAGAGAAAAAUUUACAUGAUUUGCUGGCACUCAUGCAACUGAUAAGUAUCUGAACUGGGAUUCGAACCCAAACUAACUCAGAGUUUAAGCUCUUAACUGCCAUUCUAGAGUCCUCCUUGGGGACAGGUGAUUGUAGGUAGAAAAAAGAAAUAUGGGGAGAGGCAUGCUGAAUUGAAAAAAAAAACCUCUCUAAAUGAAACUGAGAACCACAUCUUCUAGUACUAAUUAUAGGUAGAGAACUCUGCUAAAUAUUUUGCAAGCAUUAUCCAAUUUAAUGAUAAAAACCAUACUGGACAU
rnacentral:lncRNA from 10 species